UCACUUUCAACAACGGAUCUCUUGGCUCUCGCAUCGAUGAAGAACGCAGCGAAAUGCGAUAGUAGUGUGAAUUGCAGAAGUAUGUGAAUCAUCGAAUCUUUGAACGCAAAUUGCACUCUCUGGUAUUCCGGGGAGUAUGCCUGUUUGAGGGUCGCUU
rnacentral:rRNA from 1 species